CCUACGGGUGGCUGCAGUGAGGAAUAUUGGUCAAUGGCCGGAAGGCUGAACCAGCCAAGCCGCGUGAGGGAGGAAGGCGCAGAGCGUCGCAGACCUCUUUUGCUGGGGGACAAAAGGCCGGACUCGUCCGGUCCUGAGGGUACCCGGAGAAAAAGCAUCGCCUAACUCCGGGCCAGCAGCCGCGGUAAUACGGAGGAUGCGAGCGUUAUCCGGAUUCAUUGGGUUAAAAGGGUGCGCGGGUGGGCCGUUAAGCCGGCGGUGAAACCGCGGGGCUCAACCCCGCCGAGCCGUGGGGACUGGGGGCCUUGAGUGCGGCGGAGGCAUGCGGAAUGCGCG
rnacentral:rRNA from 1 species